AUUGAACGCUGGCGGCAGGCCUAACACAUGCAAGUCGAGCGAGCGGCGGACGGGUGAGUAAUGUCUGGGAAACUGCCUGAUGGAGGGGGAUAACUACUGGAAACGGUAGCUAAUACCGCAUACCAUCAGAUGUGCCCAGAUGGGAUUAGCUAGUAGGUGGGGUAACGGCUCACCUAGGCGACGAUCCCUAGCUGGUCUGCGAGGAUGACCAGCCACACUGGAACUGAGACACGGUCCAGACGCCUACGGGAAACAUCAGUGGGGAAUAUUGCACAAUGGACGCAAGCCUGAUGCAUCCAUGCCGCGUGGGUAAGGAAGGCCUUCGGGUUGUAAAGCACUGUCAGCGGGGAGGCGUUACCCGCAGAAGAAGCACCGGCUAACUCCGUGCCAGCAGCCGCGGUAAUAC
rnacentral:rRNA from 1 species